UUAGGUUUAUCCCAACUAGUGAUUAUUGAGAGUUUUUAUUACAGAGUCUUUUCACUUGCUAUAAUACUAUUCUAUAAGUUUGACCUCAAAUCAGGUAGGAAUACCCGCUGAACUUAAGCAUAUCAAUAAGCGGAGGAAAAGAAACCAACCGGGAUUGCCCUAGUAACGGCGAGUGAAGCGGCAAAAGCUCAAAUUUGAAAUCUGGCAUCUUUGAUGUCCGAGUUGUAAUUUGAAGAGGUUACUUUGGAGGCUGGCUCUUGUCUAUGUUCCUUGGAACAGGACGUCAUGGAGGGUGAGAAUCCCGUCUGGCGAGAGUUUCAGUUUUCAUGUAAAGUAGCAUUCGACGAGUCGAGUUGUUUGGGAAUGCAGCUCUAAGUGGGUGGUAAAUUCCAUCUAAAGCUAAAUAUUGGCGAGAGACCGAUAGCGAACAAGUACAGUGAUGGAAAGAUGAAAAGAACUUUGAAAAGAGAGUGAAAAAGUACGUGAAAUUGUUGAAAGGGAAGGGCAUUUGAUCAGACAUGGUGUUUCGUGCUUCUUGCUCCUUGUGGGCGGGGAGACUCACACGGUUCACUGGGCCAACAUCAGUUUUGGCAGCAGGAUAAAACUUUGGGAACGUAGCUUUCUUCGGGAAGUGUUAUAGCCCUUAGCAAUACUGCUAGCCGGGAUUGAGGACUGCGCAUUUAUGCAAGGAUGUUGGCUUAAUGGUUAAAUGCCGCCCGUCUUGAAACACGGACCAAGGAGUCUAACGUCUAUGCGAGUGUUUGGGUGU
rnacentral:rRNA from 1 species